GGAGGGUUAGUUAAGAUAUAACGUAAGCUUGUCGGGCUUUAAUAACCAUUGGGUACUCUCCU
rnacentral:tRNA from 1 species